rnacentral:rRNA from 1 species
UACGUAGGGGGCAAGCGUUGUCCGGAUUUAUUGGGCGUAAAGAGCUCGUAGGUGGUUCGGUAAGUCGGAUGUGAAAUCUCCAGGCUCAACCUGGAGGGGUCAUUCGAUACUGCCGUGACUAGAGGUCGGUAGGGGAGUGUGGAAUUCCUGGUGUAGCGGUGAAAUGCGCAGAUAUCAGGAGGAACACCGGUGGCGAAGGCGGUUCUCUGGGCAUGUCCUGACGCUGAGGAGCGAAAGUGUGGGGAGCGAACAGG